rnacentral:rRNA from 11 species
GUUGAGAACCACUGCUUUAAAGAUACAAGAAUCCUAACUGAUCUUGGAAGCUAAAUAGGAUCAGCCUUGGUUAGUACUUAGGUGGGAGACCACCAAUAAAUACCAGAUGCUGUAGGCU